rnacentral:rRNA from 1 species
GACGAACGCUGGCGGCGUGCUUAACACAUGCAAGUCGAACGGCAAGGCCCUGCUUUUGUGGGGUGCUCGAGUGGCGAACGGGUGAGUAACACGUGAGUAACCUGCCCUUGACUUUGGGAUAACUUCAGGAAACUGGGGCUAAUACCGGAUAGGAGCUCCUGCUGCAUGGUGGGGGUUGGAAAGUUUCGGCGGUUGGGGAUGGACUCGCGGCUUAUCAGCUUGUUGGUGGGGUAGUGGCUUACCAAGGCUUUGACGGGUAGCCGGCCUGAGAGGGUGACCGGCCACAUUGGGACUGAGAUACGGCCCAGACUCCUACGGGAGGCAGCAGUGGGGAAUAUUGCACAAUGGGCGGAAGCCUGAUGCAGCAACGCCGCGUGCGGGAUGACGGCCGUCGGGUUGUAAACCGCUUUCGCCUGUGACGAAGCGUGAGGGACGGUAAUGGGUAAAGAAGCACCGGCUAACUACGU